UGUGUGAUGCAUACGACGGUGUCUG
rnacentral:piRNA from 1 species